rnacentral:precursor_RNA from 15 species
CAAAAAUUAAACCAAUUAAAUUUAAUAUUGAGUGGACAUGGGUGGUACUGUGUAAUUUUUGACUCAUAGUACGGUCCAUGUUGGCUCAGUAAUAAAUUACAUUUCUACAAUUGCAACA